UUUUUAGAAAAUUUAUUUUUGCCCAUUUUUUCUAUAUUUUUCUAUAUUAUAUUUGAAAUAUUAUUUUUUACUGUACGGGUCAACUCAGUUAAGUUGAUUGUUUACUUCAAUAACAGUGUGAAGGGACUGAUUUCACUUGAACAUGAAGUGUAUGUACUGGAGCCGAUGGAAGAGGGAAACACACACCGUCUUUACAGAGGAGAACAUCUUAAACUCACCCAGGGAACCUGCGGACACGGUCACAACAUUUCAUACCCUACAGAGAUGAUGAACACUACUGGAGCCAGUGAACGGCACAUUUGGCUGCAGUUUAAAGACUUUUUUUUGUCCUUCGUUGCAUUUCAGUAUCAGAAACAGGGGAAAGACGUGGAGAAAGUGAAACAGAGGCUUGCUGAAAUAGCGAACUACGUGGACAAGUUUUACAGAUCGCUGAAUAUCCGUGUGGCUCUGGUGGGGCUGGAGGUGUGGAGUGACGGAGACAAAUGCUCCAUCACACAGGAUCCGUUCACAUCGCUCCACGAGUUCCUGGACUGGAGAAAAGUCAAGCUGCUCCCGCAGAGACCCCAUGAUAACGCUCAGCUCAUCAGUGGCGUUUACUUCCAGGGCACCACCAUCGGCAUGGCUCCCAUUAUGAGCAUGUGCACUGCGGAACAGUCAGGGGGCAUCGUCAUGGAUCACUCUGAUAACCCUCUCGGCGCUGCGGUUACUUUGGCCCAUGAGCUCGGACACAACUUCGGCAUGAACCACGACACACCGGAGCGCGGCUGCGGCUGCAGAGCCACCAUGGACCGCGGCGGGUGUAUCAUGACCCCCUCCACUGGGUAUCCUUUCCCUACAGUCUUCAGUACGUGCAGUAAGAAGGAUCUUGCGGCGAGUUUGGAGAAAGGUGUGGGCAUGUGUUUGUUCAACAUGCCAGAGGUGAAGGUGCUCUACGGAGGCCAGAAAUGUGGAAAUGGAUACGUCGAGGAGGGAGAGCAGUGUGAUUGCGGAGAUGUGGAGGAGUGUCUGAAUCCCUGCUGUAAUGCCAGUACAUGCACACUGAAGGACGAAGCCGUAUGUGCGCAUGGACAGUGUUGUGAAGACUGUCAGUUGAAGCCUGCAGGGACUCGGUGCCGUGAGUCCAGUAACUCCUGUGAUCUGCCGGAGUUUUGCACGGGUGCCGAUCCUCACUGUCCCGCUAAUGUCUACCUGCACGACGGACACACCUGUCAGGGUGUGGAUGGACACUGUUACAACGGCAUCUGCCAGACACACGAGCAGCAGUGCAUCACACUGUGGGGACAGGGUGCAAAACCAGCUCCAGGUAUCUGUUUCGAAAGAGUCAACUCGGCGGGAGAUCCGUAUGGAAACUGUGGAAAAGAUUCAAAGGAAUCAUUUGCCAAAUGUGAAGCGCGAGAUGCUAAAUGUGGGAAGAUCCAGUGUCAGGGCGGAGCCAAUCGGCCAGUGAUUGGCACCAAUGCCGUCUCCAUAGAAACCAAUAUCCCGCUCCAGGAAGGAGGCCGUAUCCUCUGCCGCGGGACUCAUGUGUACCUGGGAGACGACAUGCCGGAUCCGGGCCUCGUGCUCACCGGCACCAAGUGUGGAGAAAACAUGAUGUGUAUAAACAGACAGUGUCAGAACAUCAGUGUGCUCGGGGUUCACGACUGUUCGGCCAAGUGCAGCGGACACGGGGUUUGUAAUAAUAAUAAGAACUGUCACUGUGAGUCACUCUGGGCUCCUCCGUUCUGUGAUAAAGCUGGGUUUGGAGGCAGUAUGGACAGCGGCCCGAUGAGACCAACAGACAGCAGCAGUGUGACGGUGGGCAUCCUGGUGGCGUUUCUGUGUCUGCUGUGUGUUGGAAUAAUCCCCCAGUCUCCUCUCCAGACGGUGGACUCUGUGGUCCCGUCUCAUGGUCUCCGCCGGCUGCCCCCGUGCCCUCCGGUCCACCUCUCUCACCCGCUGCCGCUGGCACUUGGCCUUCCACUGACACCACCACACACACACUCGUCUCCACCCAGAGCCCCUCCACCAGCACUCACACACACAUACACAUCCGCUCCAGCAGUGGGAACGGCCGGCCGUGGCCUGGCCUGCCAGAAUGUCUGCAAGAUCGCCAUGGUGAGUGGAAAUAUGCCAGCGCUGUAG
ensembl:lncRNA disintegrin and metalloproteinase domain-containing protein 12-like